GUGAUGGCUUCGUUCAGAUCUAUUCUUGCAAGAGUCCUGGAGGCAUAGAUGCCAUUUUUCAGGCAAACAGCUUUCAGAGUCUGAUGAAAGCCCUGGUUUCCUCUACUCCUCUAGAAUGCAAAGGAACUGACAAAACUCUUGCCUUCCAACUUUCCAUCAAUGAACAAAGACUGAGACCAAUAUCUGAGGCCAAAGAAUUUUGAGGGAAAAUGCUGGCAAAAGGCUAUCUGAAGGGCUACCCGAGAAGCGCCAACCGGCUCCCUGCCCUGUGUUUGCUGUCGCCUACAGUCUGGCUGCAAGGAUGGUAUUUCAUCCCCACACGGGCUGCCCCUCUGCCUCAGCAGAGGAGAGCAUGGGGGGGGGGGCACUUCUGAGUUUGAUUGCAAAAUGCCUUGUCCUUGUGUUUGUAAAACAAACCAACCGCACACGGCACCACAUCUGAUUUGUUUUCCAUCAGCAUUUCCAAAAGCAAUCUUUUGCUGGGCAGAGAGGCGAUUUUCACCCCGAAGAACUUUUUCGGGAAGUUAGAAGGUCAAAUGCUUCCCUGGAAUUUCAGAGGACAAAGUCAAAUUAGAGAAUCUCAGAUUCCAGGAGGUUGUUUUAUGCUUUGUUUUAUUUUUUUAGUUUUUGGUUUUUGGUUUUUUUUUUGUCACAGAACUAAGCCAAAUGAGGCAUAAGAAACAUGAUGAAAAAGACAGGGAACCUCUCUCUAUAUAUCACUUUUAUAUAGAAUUUUUUUGAUGUAGAUAUUUGACCAAAACUGCAGAUGCUGUCUACAGUUGGCAUUGCUUACUCUUCACAUUGAGGUCAGGUCCCCAUUAUCUGCUCCUCCUGGCCACUCCAUGGGGCCAAACUGGGUAUACCUACCCACAUUCUCAGGACCAGCCCCUUGAACUCUCAUAGAGCCCUACUGGUUCACUUUCUCUGGCCCUACCUCCUUCUGCAUGACAAGAAAUUGGGCAGUUUGGUUGUGCAAAUCUGAUGGCUGAAAGCAAGUGUAGAUAUAAACACCAACCAAAUGA